rnacentral:rRNA from 1 species
UUUAUGGAGAGUUUGAUCCUGGCUCAGGAUGAACGCUGGCGGCGUGCCUAAUACAUGCAAGUCGAGCGAACGGACGAGAAGCUUGCUUCUCUGAUGUUAGCGGCGGACGGGUGAGUAACACGUGGAUAACCUACCUAUAAGACUGGGAUAACUUCGGGAAACCGGAGCUAAUACCGGAUAAUAUUUUGAACCGCAUGGUUCAAAAGUGAAAGACGGUCUUGCUGUCACUUAUAGAUGGAUCCGCGCUGCAUUAGCUAGUUGGUAAGGUAACGGCUUACCAAGGCAACGAUGCAUAGCCGACCUGAGAGGGUGAUCGGCCACACUGGAACUGAGACACGGUCCAGACUCCUACGGGAGGCAGCAGUAGGGAAUCUUCCGCAAUGGGCGAAAGCCUGACGGAGCAACGCCGCGUGAGUGAUGAAGGUCUUCGGAUCGUAAAACUCUGUUAUUAGGGAAGAACAUAUGUGUAAGUAACUGUGCACAUCUUGACGGUACCUAAUCAGAAAGCCACGGCUAACUACGUGCCAGCAGCCGCGGUAAUACGUAGGUGGCAAGCGUUAUCCGGAAUUAUUGGGCGUAAAGCGCGCGUAGGCGGUUUUUUAAGUCUGAUGUGAAAGCCCACAGCUCAACCGUGGAGGGUCAUUGGAAACUGGAAAACUUGAGUGCAGAAGAGGAAAGUGGAAUUCCAUGUGUAGCGGUGAAAUGCGCAGAGAUAUGGAGGAACACCAGUGGCGAAGGCGACUUUCUGGUCUGUAACUGACGCUGAUGUGCGAAAGCGUGGGGAUCAAACAGGAUUAGAUACCCUGGUAGUCCACGCCGUAAACGAUGAGUGCUAAGUGUUAGGGGGUUUCCGCCCCUUAGUGCUGCAGCUAACGCAUUAAGCACUCCGCCUGGGGAGUACGACCGCAAGGUUGAAACUCAAAGGAAUUGACGGGGACCCGCACAAGCGGUGGAGCAUGUGGUUUAAUUCGAAGCAACGCGAAGAACCUUACCAAAUCUUGACAUCCUUUGACAACUCUAGAGAUAGAGCCUUCCCCUUCGGGGGACAAAGUGACAGGUGGUGCAUGGUUGUCGUCAGCUCGUGUCGUGAGAUGUUGGGUUAAGUCCCGCAACGAGCGCAACCCUUAAGCUUAGUUGCCAUCAUUAAGUUGGGCACUCUAAGUUGACUGCCGGUGACAAACCGGAGGAAGGUGGGGAUGACGUCAAAUCAUCAUGCCCCUUAUGAUUUGGGCUACACACGUGCUACAAUGGACAAUACAAAGGGCAGCGAAACCGCGAGGUCAAGCAAAUCCCAUAAAGUUGUUCUCAGUUCGGAUUGUAGUCUGCAACUCGACUACAUGAAGCUGGAAUCGCUAGUAAUCGUAGAUCAGCAUGCUACGGUGAAUACGUUCCCGGGUCUUGUACACACCGCCCGUCACACCACGAGAGUUUGUAACACCCGAAGCCGGUGGAGUAACCUUUUAGGAGCUAGCCGUCGAAGGUGGGACAAAUGAUUGGGGUGAAGUCGUAACAAGGUAGCCGUAUCGGAAGGUGCGGCUGGAUCACCUCCUUUCU